rnacentral:tRNA from 1 species
GGGGAGGUGGCUCAGCGGUUAAGAGCACUGGCUGCUUUUCCAGGGGUUCUGAGUUCAAAUCCCAGCACCCACA